GAACAAACUUACAAGGACAAAGCCAAUGGAAGGUGCUUAUUCUGUGUCUGUUAUUCUUUUUCUUUUUCUUUUUUCUUUUUUCUUUUUUUGUUUGUUUGGUUGUUUGUUUGAU
rnacentral:ribozyme from 1 species